GUUCUUCCAUCUUCUUCAACAACAUGAUUUCAACAAUUUUGAACCAAAUCCUCAUACUUUCCCCAAAUUCAUCCCCCAAAUCUUGCCCAACCCCCUAAUCGCUCCUCAAAGGAACCUGCGCAUCUCAUUACUCCCGCUGGCAAGUAUGGGCGUGGAACCCCAAAUCUUGAUAAUUUCCCUUAUUAUCUUCCAGAUCUAGAACCCCAAAGCAUUGGUGAAAUAGGGUUUGAAGGACGGCGGCUGUUUUAGAGGUUGUGAGAGAACUACGGCGGGUGGAGGUAGUGAGAGGAUGGCUGUCGCUUUGUGUUCUGGUGCUCGAUUUGAAGGAAGACGACGAACAGAAGUGGCACCGACGAACAAAUCUGGUUUAACAGAUCUGAUUCAUCAUCUUCUAGUUUCAUAUGUGGAUCCACUGGCUGACUAGGUUCCCCACGACCAUGGGUUGUAGCAUGGAAAUCAGGUUUGACGAGCAUGGAUAAAGAUCACGUAGGAAAUGCCUUAGUCGAAUAAUCGGGAUUGUAUUUUAAGUUUCAUGUUUUGUUUGAUGUUUGGAUUAUU
rnacentral:lncRNA from 1 species